rnacentral:rRNA from 1 species
UACGUAGGUGACCAGCGUUGUCCGGAUUUACUGGGCGUAAAGAGCGCGCAGGCGGUCGUUCAAGUCGAGUGUGAAAGCCCCCGGCUCAACUGGGGAGGGUCAUUCGAUACUGAUCGACUGGAAGGCAGGAGAGGGAAGCGGAAUUCCCGGUGUAGUGGUGAAAUGCGUAGAUAUCGGGAGGAACACCAGUGGCGAAGGCGGCUCCCUGGCCUGUUCUUGACGCUGAGGCGCGAAAGCUAGGGGAGCAAACGGG